rnacentral:rRNA from 1 species
AGCGAACGCUGGCGGCAGGCUUAACACAUGCAAGUCGAGCGGGCAUCUUCGGAUGUCAGCGGCAGACGGGUGAGUAACACGUGGGAAUGUACCCUUCGGUUCGGAACAACUCUGGGAAACUGGAGCUAAUACCGGAUACGCCCUUAUGGGGAAAGGUUUACUGCCGAAGGAUCGGCCCGCGUCUGAUUAGCUAGUUGGUGGGGUAACGGCCUACCAAGGCGACGAUCAGUAGCUGGUCUGAGAGGAUGAUCAGCCACACUGGGACUGAGACACGGCCCAGACUCCUACGGGAGGCAGCAGUGGGGAAUAUUGGACAAUGGGCGCAAGCCUGAUCCAGCCAUGCCGCGUGAGUGAUGAAGGCCUUAGGGUUGUAAAGCUCUUUUGUCCGGGACGAUAAUGACGGUACCGGAAGAAUAAGCCCCGGCUAACUUCGUG